GGAUAUAUAGCUCAGCGGUAGGGCACAUGCUUAGCAUGCAAGGAGUCCUGGGUUCAAUCCCCAGGCCCUCCA
rnacentral:tRNA from 1 species